rfam:Gossypium raimondii chromosome 4, whole genome shotgun sequence.
AAACCAUGCAUCGGGCAUUUUUUCAGUAGCUCCUUGAACCGCUCCUAUGCUUCAUAUAAUGUUUCAUCUUCUGAUUUUCUAAACAAUGUAAUGUCAUUCCUCAAUUU